rnacentral:misc_RNA from 1 species
GGAGGUAAAAAAAUGAAAA